CUGGGAACUUUGAUUUGCUAUGUGACAUUCUGUGCUGAGUUGGGAUUUUGGAAUUCUGGGGUAGAUUUAAAAGGUAUUUGUGGCUUUUCUAGUCUGAUUGGGACAUUUAAGGGUGGGGCUCACAGUUCCUCAAGGCAAAGAUUUAAUGGGCCCUUCCCCCUGCCUGUGCUGAAUUAGAUAAUACAGGCCAGUGUCAUUUGGCUUACUGAUUAAAGGAAGACAAUGGGCCUUGGAAUCUGUAAAGAUGGGCGGGAAUGAAGCUGGUCAAAUGUACUGACUUUCUUGCUGCAAGAACUAUCUCUUUCCUUGAGAGGGCUCCAGAAGGCGCACGAGGACAUUUGGCUGUGCCUCGGCGCCACCCAGGAGACCGGCCCAACCCCAACUCCUCAUCAGCACAGACCAGGAGAUUGGGUCUAUGUCAAAAGGCACCACCUUGAGACCCUGGAGCCACGUUGGAAAGGUCCCUACACCCUACACUGUGGUGCUGACAACACCCACCGCUCUCAAAAUAGAUAGACGGCGUCGCGACCUGGGUCCAUCACACCCACGUCUGGUCAGCAGACCCAUCCACGAUCCGGAAAGACUUCAUCACCAAAUGGAGCGUUGAUCAAAAUCAACACAACCCGCU